UACGGGGGAGCAAGCGUUGUUCGGAUUUACUGGGCGUAAAGGGCGCGUAGGCGGCGUGACAAGUCACUUGUGAAAUCUCCGGGCUUAACUCGGAACGGUCAAGUGAUACUGUCGGACUAGAGUACAGAAGGGGCAACUGGAAUUCUCGGUGUAGCGGUGAAAUGCGUAGAUAUCGAGAGGAACACCUGCGGCGAAGGCGGGUUGCUGGGCUGAUACUGACGUGAGGCGCGAAAGCCAGGGGAGCGAACGGG
rnacentral:rRNA from 1 species